rnacentral:rRNA from 1 species
CGUGUAGGCGGUUAGGUAAGUGGGAUGUGAAAUACUCCGGCUCACCCGGAGAACUGCAUCCCAAACUGCCUAGCUUGAGUAUGGGAGAGGAUGAGGGAAUUCCUGGUGUAGCGGUGAAAUGCGUAGAUAUCAGGAGGAACACCGGUGGCGAAAGCGCUCAUCUGGCCCAAUACUGACGCUGCAGCGCGAAAGCUAGGGAGCAAACG